CGCGGCCUAUCAGCUUGUUGGUGAGGUAACGGCUCACCAAGGCGACGACGGGUAGCCGGCCUGAGAGGGCGACCGGCCACACUGGGACUGAGACACGGCCCAGACUCCUACGGGAGGCAGCAGUGGGGAAUAUUGCACAAUGGGCGAAAGCCUGAUGCAGCGACGCCGCGUGAGGGAUGACGGCCUUCGGGUUGUAAACCUCUUUCAGCAGGGAAGAAGCGAAAGUGACGGUACCUGCAGAAGAAGCGCCGGCUAACUACGUGCCAGCAGCCGCGGUAAUACAUAGGGUGCAAGCGUUGUCCGGAAUUAUUGGGCGUAAAGAGCUCGUAGGUGGUUCGAUACGUCGGAUGUGAAAAUCAGGGGCUCAACCCCUGACCUGCAUUCGAUACGGUCGAGCUAGAGUUUGGUAGGGGAGACUGGAAUUCCUGGUGUAGCGGUGGAAUGCGCAGAUAUCAGGAGGAACACCGAUGGCGAAGGCAGGUCUCUGGGCCAAUACUGACACUGAGGAGCGAAAGCGUGGGGAGCGAACAGGAUUAGAUACCCUGGUAGUCCACGCCGUAAACGGUGGGCGCUAGUUGUGCGAACCUUCCACGGUUUGUGCGACGCAGCUAACGCAUUAAGCGCCCCGCCUGGGGAGUACGG
rnacentral:rRNA from 1 species